UCUCCUCAGCCUACUGACAGCUCAUGUUCAACCACAGACGCAACUGGUUAUCAACCUAUUCUUCCUCUGGAAUUUCACUUUGUGCCAUCAAUCUAAAAGAAAAUAAAUCACCAGAACGGAA